GGCGUGGCUCAAUGGUAGAGCAGGUGCACCAUUUACAGAGGCUACAGCUCUCAAUGCAACUGUCCAGGGUUUGAUUCCCGGACCUGGGCCA